UACGAAGGGGGCGAGCGUUAUUCGGAAUCACUGGGCGUAAAGCGUGCGUAGGCUGUUCGGCAAGUUAGAUGUGAAAGCCCAGGGCUCAACCCUGGAACUGCAUUUAAAACUGCUGGACUCGAAUUCGAGAGAGGAUAGCGGAAUUUCCAGUGUAGUAGUGAAAUACGUAGAUAUUGGAAGGAACACCAGUGGCGUAGGCGGCUAUCUGGCUCGACAUUGACGCUGAGGCACGAAAGCGUGGGGAUCAAACAGG
rnacentral:rRNA from 1 species